AAUCUCCAUGAAGACGCCUCCAUUUUUUAAGCAGGGACAACAGCCAUGAGGUGACAUUGGCUAUCAGACCAAUGAAUCUUCUGGGGUUCGGCGCUCUAUAAUGUAUCUGUCAACCUACAUGUUCUGUCUGAGAUAUGAGGGAUACACCUAGUGUAUUAACCGAUUAACCCUAAGAAUGCCCAGAGGUCUCUCUUGGUUUUAGGUGUGGCGGUAUCUAGGAUGCCUUUCACUUUUUCUCAUUGAGGCUGGGCACCGCCAUUCCCUACAAAGAAGACAAGGUAUUUCACGGCUGAUUGGGCCAGCUUACAUUUGGAUGGAUUGUCAGAUAAGCCAGCUUCUCUGAGGGCUCUCAUCAUAGUAAAGAGAUGGAAAAGAUAGUCUUCCCACAUCUUACUAUAAAGACUAUGGGCCUCAUUACGGGUCCGGGGGUAACCGUGCUGGUAAAACCAGCAGGCAUCUGCCGGACCCGUAAUUAAUUACCGGUGCCUGACUUCCAUGUGCCACCCGGCUAUUUUGAGUCCGGUGGCCGGAGGCAAUUCUGUUAGUCCCCAUGGGAAUGGGGACGAUGGAGCACCGGCAGCAUUAACAACGGUGUUGGUGCAUCCAUGAGAACUCUGCGGGCGGGUGCUGUCCCGCCCAGCAGGUCUGACCCUGGCGGACGGGACGGCACCCACCCACAGAGUCGUACUGUGCUGGUCCGUUAACAACAGUGCCAGUAGGUUUACCGGUACCGUUGUUACCGGACCGGCACAGUCAUAAUGAAGCCCUAUGUUGUCAAUAUAAGCCCCACAGAAAUUGAAGUAGGGUUGUAAUAUCCUGUCCAUAAGCUGCUGGAAAGUGGCAGCGGCCCUGUGUAAGGCAAAAGGGAGGACUUUGAACUGGAAUAGUCCCAGGGGCAUCAAAAGAUCUGUCUUUUCCUUAUGAGCUCCAUGUUCUUGGACCUGCUAGUAUCCUUAAGUCUAGGGUUGAUAGGAAGGUGGCAUUUCAGAGUUUAUCAAUCAAUUUGUCGAGGCAUGGCAUGGCAUAGGCAUCAGAUGGCAUUGACCUGUCGGAAGUCUAUGCAAAACCUCCAGCAAUAGUCAGGUUUUGUAACCAAUAUUAUAGGGGAAGACCAUUUGCUUAAAAAGGGUUCUAUAAUUUUUGCCCUUCAGAUGCCAGCGCCCAAUGUGCCACUUUUGGUACGCAGUACUGGAGCUGCAGGAUGAACUGAACACCAGGUUGAGGAGCACAAGGGUGAUGCUCAUCAGGCCCCUGAAAAUGUGUUGAUAGAUAUAGACAGCAGAAUAGUGCUCAGGAAUCCAUGGACAUAAGAAUCUGUUUAGUAGUGGGUAAAAACUCACCUGCUGAAUGAACUAGACCUUUCAAUGGAUGGUGCUGGAGAAUCAAGUCCAUACCCAGACACUUCAAGCCACAAGGGCUAAGCUGGAAGAGUAGGAGGGCUACUGCUGUGUGCAUGGUAACCUCGGACAAUUGCCUUGGUGGAGCCGCCACAGGUGCAGACCUUGGUGGUGGUAGAAAUAUUCAAAUGUGAACUUUGAUGGCCAUAGUGGCGGUGGGUAACAUGUGAACAGUUUCUAAGAGAUGGGCAUGCAUUGUUCGGAAGGGAAAGGCAAUGUCCUCCAUUGCCCUCAGCCGAUCGAAAGUGAGUCAGAUUCAGAUCACUGAACCAGAGUGGUGUAGACAGAUACCCUCACAGCAUCCAUUGCAGUGAUGGAUACGUUCCAGGAGAAUCUGGCAUGCACUUUAGGGGGAGUAGUAUUUUCUUUGUGAAGGGCAGGACAUCUUGAAAUGUGUUUGCCCUUAGAGAGGGGAUUGAGCGUUGGUAAGCAUCGCGUUUUGUGUGGAGUACGUUCAGCUCUUGCUGGUCCUUGUUAAUACAGGAGAGAUUGUGCAAAUCUCGCACUGACAUGUACCCAGUUCUGCAGCAGGAUCCCAAGGUGACCCACCUCCGGCAUGUUGGAACAAUGUAGGUAAGAGUAGUCGGCAAGUUAGAUCUGUAACUUUGGGAUGAGAAUUAGCUGUACAUGCUGGUUGGGUCUGGCUGGUGCACAUGGCAGUGCUGGCUGUACACCAUGGCUGGUUGAGGCAUCUCCAUAACAGCGGACCCUCCCAACUCUGGACAUGAGCCAGGCCCUUCCUGUGGAUCACCCAUCUGGGGUAGUGUCCUCUCUCCCUUACCCUCUGGGGUUUCGGGGCAUGCCUCAGCCAGUGCCUAGCAGAUUACUUAGUACUGGUGCAGACCAGGGUCAGCCAACGGUUUAAUUGUGACAAUCAUCAGAGGCCCGAGGUGCGUGUUAAUGCAAUGUGAUUUCUGCCCAGUGCUCUGAAUGUCAAUGUGAUGAAAUUCAAUAAAGCGCAGGUAAACAGUGGGAGUAACUAUGACUCCCUUAAGGUGGCCAAAUACAUCAUCUCAGUGGUGGCAUGCAUGAAUGGAUGAGCGGAAUUCCCACUGUCCUUACCUACUAUCUAGAGAACCAGAGCCAAAGGAACAGGCUUGUUAAAAUCAGAGGGGAUAGGAGACCCUGUUGAGUUUGGCUCUAGUCUGGCACUGUGAGGAGACAAGAGAGGUUUGUGAUAGGUGGGAGGACUUUGGGCCAGCAGUGAAAUACCACUAGUGUUAUCAUUUUUGUGCAUACCCAGUGAGGUGGGGAAGCACGCCUUGUGGGGCUGUCACUUCUGGCUCACAAAAACCAGACUCCAGCCAGGCAUGACCCACUCCAGGGACAUUGGCAAUUGUGGAGCUUGAUUGGGGCAGUACACCUGUCCUACAAUAAUGCAUUUUUCCUAAGGCAAGCUCACAGAGGGCAGAAACAUCCCACGGAGAAGAAGGGCAAAAUCUUGCUGGAUCUCAAUUUCAUGUAUGCAGAGUAAGCAGAGCCUCAUGAUCCUUCUGACGUUUCUAUGUGUCGAGCAGGAGGUGUCAGUACAUUUACUCUGGGAUAACUGUCUUGGGGAACCAAAGCAUUUAUUGCGACAUCACAUUAUUAUCCUUUCAAAGCAGCUCUUACUAUCACUGUGAAGCACAAUUCAACACAUGUUACAUUGUUCACCCACUAACAGAGAACAUGAGCUGGGUUUAGACCAUUGUGGGGCAGGUUAGUUUUACACUACUGAUGAUGUGCUGGUGCAAUAGUGAUCCUGCUCAGUACGAGAGGAAAUACAUGUUUAGAUUUUUGGUGUAUGUGCUUGGCUGAGGAGCCAUUGGGGCAAAGCUGUCAUCUGUAGGAUUAUGACUGAAUGCAUUUAAGUCAGAUUCCCGCCUAAACUGUAACGCUGCUGUAGCACUGUGGAUCUUCCAUUGGCUUAGGAUAGCCAGCAUCUGGGCUGGUGCGUAGAGCUGCUUGCCUCAGGACUCAAGUGUGUACAGAAGUCGGCCACCUCACCCGUAGUGCACCAGAUGUUUGU
rnacentral:rRNA from 1 species